rnacentral:rRNA from 1 species
UACGUAGGGGGCUAGCGUUGUCCGGAAUCAUUGGGCGUAAAGCGCGCGUAGGCGGCCAGAUAAGUCCGGUGUGAAAGUCACAGGCUCAACCUGUGAAUGCCGCUGGAAACUGUCUGGCUUGAGUCCGGGAAGGGGCGAGUGGAAUUCCUGGUGUAGCGGUGAAAUGCGCAGAUAUCAGGAGGAACACCAAUGGCGAAGGCAGCUCGCUGGAACGUGACUGACGCUGAGACGCGAAAGCGUGGGGGAGCAAACAGG